GAUGAACGCUGGCGGCGUGCCCAAUACAUGCAAGUCGAGCGAAUGGAUUAAGAGCUUGCUCUUAUGAAGUUAGCGGCGGACGGGUGAGUAACACGUGGGUAACCUGCCCAUAAGACUGGGAUAACUCCGGGAAACCGGGGCUCAUACCGGAUAACAUUUUGAACCGCAUGGUUCGAAAUUGAAAGGCGGCUUCGGCUGUCACUUAUGGAUGGACCCGCGUCGCAUUAGCUAGUUGGUGAGGUAACGGCUCACCAAGGCAACGAUGCGUAGCCGACCUGAGAGGGGGAUCGGCCACGCUGGGACUGAGACACGGCACAGACUCCUACGGGAGGCAGCAGUAGGGAAUCUUCCGCAAUGGACGAAAGUCUGACGGAGCAACGCCGCGUGAGUGAUGAAGGCUUUCGGGUCGUAAAACUCUGUUGUUAGGGAAGAACAAGUGCUAGUUGAAUAAGCUGGCACCUUGACGGUACCUAACCAGAAAGCCACGGCUAACUACGUGCCAGCCGCCGCCGUAA
rnacentral:rRNA from 1 species